AAAACCUUUUUCUGAACAUCAUCAAGUGGCAUCAUCUUGCAAAGAAAUGCUUCUUAGCAGGGACAUAUGUUUUAUAUGACAAGAUGUAAAUAUUCCACAUCUAGGAAUGACUGCAAUACCAGAGCUUUGCACUAUCAUAGGCAGCUAAGUUUUUUGGGGGGGGGGGGUUAAAAAAAAAAACACACGCGCAUAACUCAUUUAGUGUUUUUUCUAGCAUGCACACCAUCCUCCUGCAUUGAGGAGGGGAAAAAAAAUUUUAAAAAAAGGAAAAAAAAAUCAGACAAAUGCCAUACCACUAAAAGACUGCAGACAGACCUUCACAAGAGAAGUUACUACAUUUGCGGUCUACUUCAUGUUUUUGUUAAGUCCGCUGCCUCUAUGUGUGGCACCUCAGGAUUUCUGACCCUCAGCAACACUUUCUUCGCCUGGGUAGUGCAAGGCUUAGUGCGUAUCAAAGAAGGGACGAAAGGUGAAAUAUCGAAUGUUCCUGAGCUUUUACUAUUGGUAAAGUGGUAGCUAUCAAGUCUUGUGUCAGCUGAGCAUGCUGCAGCGAGUGGCGAGAGUGGCGUCACUAAUUCCUUCUAUUCCUCAGUUAGUCAAGAAAGGCCGUCCUAGGUCUGAGUCAUGCCUCACACAUCCUGCCUUGCUUGAGCAGUUCCUCAUUUAACACAGGGACACGUCGGAGUAGCACAUUUGACUCUCAGCAAUCUCAGGCAGGAUAUCAAGAGAAAUUCCACGUAGGGCGGGCGAGGAGCCUAUGGAGCCACCUCUCCCCUGCGGGAGUUAAGCGUCCCUGCGCAUACACAGAAGGUGGCAGUCCGGUUCAGGCAGCUGGACACCGCACGCGUAUGUCUACAGAGAAAAAGCAGAGGAGAGUGUUUUUGUUUGCACUAGAACAUUGUUGUCCACCCAGUAAGUAUAUUCCGGGGGACUCAACUCCACAAAAAGCUCUUAGGCCCAUAGUCAGGGUCUACUAAGGCCAAGGAGGGAGGCAGUGUCUUGCUGAGCACAGAUUGACUUUACUGCACCAGGAUCUGGCUUCACCGCAGCAUGGAUGAAGCCUCAAUAUUCUCAAACCAAAAGCAAAGCAGUCUAAUUAAACAACUGACGGAGUUGUCAGUUUAGCAGGUCUGGCUGAGAGACUCUUGAAGCUCUUCAUGGGAAACAAUCUUCUAUCCUAAAAGGUUGUCCUUCGCUCAGCCUCCAUACAGUUCAUUUGAGUACCUUAGUACAGCUGCAAGCUUCAUGGUGGUCAUGGUAUGAAAUCACCAUACUGAUUUACAUAUGUCUUCUGAAUACUGCUUUUGCAGCUGUAUUUGAACAUCUUGAUCUAGAUGUAACAUGACAAGCACAACCUGACAUAAUUCUGUGCGACCCUGCUGGCUUGAAAGGGUUGGCAGCAUAUCUUUAGCUCACCCCAAAUUCAUAUUUGUCCCAUGCUUCAGAAGGGAGAGACUGAAUUAGGACAGGAUAGCCUUGAUUAAAAUUCAGUUUUGGCGUCUUGGUUCCCAUUUUCCUUGACUUCUCUUUGUGUUGAGAGAGGCAUAAGUCAGUUUCUACUCAGAAGUUCCUUGCGUCAAGGGUCAUCUCCAGUGGUCAUAAAAGUGCUCUUUUGGCUCCAACCUUCCUUGCAUUUUUAGCCUGUGUUACAGGAGAUUUUGGCAGAGGGAAGCAGCUCUAAGAAACAGGGCACAGCUGAAGUAAUGCAACUCAUGGCUGACACCAACAGCAGCUCACUAGCAGCCAAGUGCAGGUCAGAGACGCUGCUAACUCACCUUUUUUAGAUCAGGAAAAACAUUUCCUCUCGGGUAGACCUAGAGUCUGGGUGGUUGCAAGGCUUUGCAAAGCUAAUUCUCAGACAUUUUACCUGCCCUAACCUAUAAUUUAGGAACAUGGGUUGCUUCAGCCCUAAAAGCUCUAGAGUUGCUCUAAACAGUUCACUGCCCUCCUCCAGCUGCCACCUUGACUUCUUCUCCC
rnacentral:lncRNA from 1 species